AGGUUGUCGUGUUGUCUUCUCU
rnacentral:miRNA from 1 species